ACGGGUGAGUAACACGUGGGUAACCUGCCUGUAAGACUGGGAUAACUCCGGGAAACCGGGGCUAAUACCGGAUGGUUGUUUGAACCGCAUGGUUCAAACAUAAAAGGUGGCUUCGGCUACCACUUACAGAUGGACCCGCGGCGCAUUAGCUAGUUGGUGAGGUAACGGCUCACCAAGGCAACGAUGCGUAGCCGACCUGAGAGGGUGAUCGGCCACACUGGGACUGAGACACGGCCCAGACUCCUACGGGAGGCAGCAGUAGGGAAUCUUCCGCAAUGGACGAAAGUCUGACGGAGCAACGCCGCGUGAGUGAUGAAGGUUUUCGGAUCGUAAAGCUCUGUUGUUAGGGAAGAACAAGUACCGUUCGAAUAGGGCGGUACCUUGACGGUACCUAACCAGAAAGCCACGGCUAACUACGUGCCAGCAGCCGCGGUAAUACGUAGGUGGCAAGCGUUGUCCGGAAUUAUUGGGCGUAAAGGGCUCGCAGGCGGUUUCUUAAGUCUGAUGUGAAAGCCCCCGGCUCAACCGGGGAGGGUCAUUGGAAACUGGGGAACUUGAGUGCAGAAGAGGAGAGUGGAAUUCCACGUGUAGCGGUGAAAUGCGUAGAGAUGUGGAGGAACACCAGUGGCGAA
rnacentral:rRNA from 2 species